rnacentral:rRNA from 1 species
GACGAACGCUGGCGGCGUGCCUAAUACAUGCAAGUCGAGCGCAGGAAAUCGACGGAACCCUUCGGGGGGAAGUCGACGGAAUGAGCGGCGGACGGGUGAGUAACACGUAAAGAACCUGCCCUCAGGUCUGGGAUAACCACGAGAAAUCGGGGCUAAUACCGGAUGGGUCAUCGGACCGCAUGGUCCGAGGAUGAAAGGCGCUCCGGCGUCGCCUGGGGAUGGCUUUGCGGUGCAUUAGCUAGUUGGUGGGGUAAUGGCCCACCAAGGCGACGAUGGAUAGGCGACCUGAGAGGGUGAUCGGCCACACUGGGACUGAGACACGGCCCGGACUCCUACGGGAGGCAGCAGUAGGGAAUCUUCCACAAUGGACGAAAGUCUGAUGGAGCAACGCCGCGUGAACGAUGAAGGCCUUCGGGUCGUAAAGUUCUGUUGUAAGGGAAGAACAAGUGCCGCAGGCAAUGGCGGCACCUUGACGGUACCUUGCGAGAAAGCCACGGCUAACUACGUGCCAGCCGCCGCGGUAACAC